CUUGAUAAUGGUUAAUCCGAGUCUUGAUAAUGGACUACCGGAUUUGAGGGAAAAGAACAUUAGAAAGACCAUCAAACAUGCUGAAACAUGAGCUUCGGCCAUAUGAAAAAUUGAAGUCAAAUAUCUUGUUCGGAAUCAUUUUUAUUUUUGCAAUAAGAACACCCUAUCUGCCUUCGAUCUCGCGCGUAUAAUCUUUGAAAAUAACGUCAUGUCCCUUCUGUAGAAUCUGCCCAAUACUCAAUAGUUCAUGUUUAAGACUUGGAACACAGAACACAUCGAUGAUUCACUUAACACCUUUCUUUGUCUGAACAAGAAUAUCGUAUUUUUUUUUUUUACUUGAACUCACUUGUCAUCUCCAAUCUUGACUUCACUUUGAAGAGAAUCAUCCAAAAUUGUAAAAAUAUCUUUAUUGCCAGUCAUGUGAUCACUACAACCACUGUCAAGAUACUAGAUUUCUUCAUAGACCACUUCUUGUGUUCUACAGGUCAGAAAAAGAACAUCUCAUCAUUAUUUUGUUCCUCGUGCAUGAAAUUUGAGUUGUUUUUGUCACCAUCAUUCUUCUUAAACCUGCAAUAUUCUUUAGUAUCGCCAAAACGAUUGUUGUAGCACAGAAUAUGAGAAAAAUUACCACAACCACGACCACGAUCACUGCCUUGGCCUCUUCCUCUACCUCUGCGUCUGCCCUUGCCUCUUACCUGACCUAAAAAGGAACUUGAUUCUUCCUUACUUUCAUUGUAGUUGUUCUGCGACUCGAAAUUUCUACCACCUCCACGUCCACUUCUUCAUCCUUUAAAACUUCGACUAAAAGAAGCUUAAAAGGGAAAGGAUGUUCCAAAGGAAUUGUAUCAAAUUACUUCAAUCUAAGCUCAUAAGAUUGGAGAGAUACCAUCAAGCUAUUUACUGAUAAAGUAGUUCUCAAAUUUUCUAGUCAUGAACCCUGAGAAUUUUCUCAACACUUCUUUGAUCUGAAAUUCGUUCUCCAUUUACUUUCAAUUGAUAAACAAUCGAGAGAACACGAUUAAAAUAUUCCUCCAUCAACUCAGAAUCUUUAUUUUAAGUGUAUAAAUUCCGAUCAUAAAGCUUGCAAUUUCACCAUUUUCACUUUAUCAUCACCUUGAUAAGUUGAUUGCAGAGUGUCGCAUGCCGCCUUUGCUGAUGUUGCUGUGGAAAUUCUUUCAAAAUUUGGUUAAUCAACAGCAUAAUAAAUGAAAAAUAAAGCCUUGUUGUCCUUCUUGAGAUUCCAUCAAUUCUUUAUUUUGUUGUUAACAACAACUUGGUCUUCUGGCUCAACAAUUAUGUUGGUAUUUGAAUAAAGUGUUUGUUCGAUUUUGAGAAAUUUAAAACGGAUUUCAAAAAAAUAGAAACAAGAAUACAGAGUAUUUUUCACCCUUAAAGGGUCCGGAUGUUCAGUCACAAAGACCUACUCACCCGUUGAGCAUCAACUGCACGAUUAAGCUCUAGAUCCACUAAAUCUCCAAGAAAUUGUACAAAUGUAUGAAUAAAUUACAGAUUUCUUUAAGUUCCUCUAGCCUCUCUAUUUGAAAUAUGGUAACGCUAAAUCUUACACAAAAAUCUUCUAAACAACUCUAAACACUCAACUACAGAGAAAUCAUCGCGAAGAUGAAUGGUUACCAAUUUCUGAAAGAACCCUAGUUCACACACAGAUAGAACAAUCGAGAGAGAAAGACCAGUUCUGCCCAAAAAUGAAGAGCCCAAAAUUAAAUACUCAAAACCAAUCAACACAGAUCAAAGGUUGCCAAGAAGCCACGUGUACAGCAGAAAACUUCACUUGAGGAAGGCAAACACGUUAUACACAGAGAAACGUUUUUAGUAAUGGGCUGGGUACUAAACCAAUUAAAGAGGCCUAGUUAUUUAGAAAUAGCGAGGUAGCCCAAAUUUUAUAACAAACUCCACCUUGAUGAGCUAUUUCUUGUUUAAUUAAUGGAUCUAGAGAUCGCACUAGCUUCAUUUGCUCUCAUAACCUAUAAAAACAAAAAAUUGAAAUUAGUUUGAAUUAUAUACAUGGCUUAAGAUUCUAGUUUAUCACUGAUUGUCAAUCUUAUGUGGUAUUCAAAAUCAUUAAGCAAUUUUUGAACUUGUUUAAAGGAAGUAUCUUGGUACCUACAUCAGAGGGAUUAUGUUCUGUAGGGAUCUUGACUAAAGAAAUCAUACCUUUUUCAACAAUGUUCCUCACAAAGUGGAAUUUUAUGUCAACAUGCUUUGUUCUAUCAUGCUAGACUGGAUUUCUACUCAAAUGUAUAGCACUUUGGUUAUCAGUAAAUAUUUUUACAGAAUCAUUUUGAAAACCAAUUUCAUUUAAUAACCCUCUUAGCCAAAUGCAUUCUUUAACAGCAUCACAUGCAACAAUAUAUUCUGCCUCCGUUGAAGAUAAUGCAACUAAUUUCUGCAGUUGUGAUUUCCAACUGAUACAACUAUCAUACAGAGUAAAAAUAUAGGAUGAAGUAGAUCUUCUUUUGUUUAAGUCUCCAGUAAAGUCUGAAUCACAAUAACCCUUCAGAAUUAUAACUUCAUUAUAUCUUUUAAAAUUUAUUCCUAGUUUGCAUGAUCUUUAUAGUUAUCUAAGCAUCCAUUUAACUGCUAACCAAUGAAUUUCACAUGGGUUUGCCAUGAAUCUACUCAAAAUACUUAUUCCAUGAGCUAGGUCUGAUCUAGUGCAUGCCAUAAGAUAUAUUAUAGAUCCUAUUGCAUUAGCAUAUGGAACAUUUUUCAUUCUAUCAAUUUCUUCUUCAGUUUUUGGUGACUGAUCACAUGAUAAUUUGAAAUGAGUUGCAAGGGCAGGGAUACAGAUUUACAUUCAACCAUAGAAAACUUAUCUAAAAUUUUCUUUACAUAGUUUCCUUGUUUUAAACAUAGCGUGUAAUUAUUUCUGUCCCUUUCUAUAUCCAUUCCUAGAAUUCUUUUAGCUUUACCUAGAUCUUUCAUUUCAAAUUCUGACUUCAGCUUAAACUUGACAGAUUCUAUUUCAGAUUUAUCAUGGCAUGCAAGUAACAUGUCAUCAACAUACAAUAGCAGAUAAAUGGAUUCAGGACCACCAGAUCCCUUAAAGAAAAAACAGGAAUCAUUAUUACUUUUCAUAAACCCCAAGGUUUUCUCAUAAGAGUAAAAUUUUAUAUACCACUGCCUAGGAGCUUGCUUAAGCCCAUAAAGUGAUUUCUUUCAAUAAACAAACCUGUUGUGUCUUUGAUUUUAUCCGAUAUCCCUUUGGUUGAUUCAUGUAUAUUUCUUCAUCAAGUUCUCCAUUAAGAAAAGCUGUCUUGACAUCCAAUUAUUCUAAUUCCCAGUUGAAAUGUGCAGUUCAUGCAAGAAGAAUUCUAAUUGAGGUGUAUUUAGCAACUGGAGAAAAAAUUUCAUUGUAAUCUACACCUUCCUUUUGGGUAAAGCCUUUUGCUACUAAUCUAGCUUUAUAUCUCUUAUUUUCUGAGUUAGAAUUUCCUUGUUUUAUUUUGAAGAUCCACUUACAAUCAACUAUCCUUUUAUCUUUUGGUUUAUUCACCAACACCCAAGUUUUAUUUUUUAUCAAAGAAUUCAUUUCAUCAUCCAUAGCUUUCUUCCAGAAAUUUGAAUCAGGACAAGUAACAACUUCUUCAUAGGUGUUUGGUUUUGAAUUCAAAGAAUCUAGAUCGGAAAAUAAGGUCACAAAUUCAUCAGUAUUAAAUCUGGUAGAGGGAAUUCUAUUUCUCCUCUCCCUAUCUCUUGUUAGUUGAUAAUCAGUAAGGGAUGUAUUUUCAGAUUCAAAUACACGUUCAAGUUGAUCACUUUCAACUUCAAAUUGAGUGGCCUCCACCUCAAUCUGAUCAAUAUGAUCAAUAGGGCUUUCAAUUUGAUUUUUCAGAACAGAUUCCUUUAUGAUUGUGGAUUCAUUUGAUUUUGGUCCAGAUGAAUUCAAGCAUGGUAUAUCAUUUUCAUUGAAUAUGACAUUUCUACUUUUAAUGACUUUAAAACCAUUCUGUUCAUUAACCUAAAGUCUAUUUCCUUUGGUUUCCUCCCCAUAACCAAGAAAGAUACAUUUUUGUGAUCUAGGUUCCAAUUUUCCCUCAUUUUGAUGAGCAUAGGCAGCACAGCCAAAUACUCUUAAUUUUCUAUAAUCUGCUAUAGUUCCUUACCACAAUUUUUCAGAUAUUUGAAAGUUAAUAGCACUUGAUGGACUUCUAUUUAUAAAAUAGGUUGCAGUUUUGAGGGCUUCCCCCUAGAAAAGUUUUGGUAAACCAGAACUGUGUAACAUACACCUGACCUUUUCUAAUAGGGUCCUAUUCAUUCUUUCAACAAUACCAUUAUGUUGCGGGGUGUAUGUCACAGUUCUGUGCCUUAUUAUACCACUUUCUUCACAAAAGAAAUCAAAUUCAGUAUUACAAAAUUCAAGUCCAUUGUCAGUUCUAAGUGCUUUAAUUUUCCCGUUGGUUUGAUUUUAAAUAAUCAACUUCCAUUGUUUAAAGAUUUGAAAAAUAUCAAAUUUUUGUUUCAACAAAAAAGUCCAUAUUUUUCUUGAAAAAUCAUCUACUGUAAGUAGAUUAAAGCUAAAGCUACUCAGUGUAUUUACAGAGGCUGGUCCCCAGAGAUCAGCAUGUAAAUAUUCUAAAAUGCAUGAUGUUUUAUGAAUUCCAAGUUUGAAAGAUUGUUUUUGGUGUUUUCCAAAAAUACAGUAUUCACAAAAACCUAACCUUUCAAUGUUAUCUUUUCCAAAACAGCCAAAUUUAUUUAAGAGAAGAAGAACUUUUUCUGAAAUGUGACCAAGUCUUUUAUGCCAGAUUAGAGAUUGAUUUGUUUUAGGAUUUACAGCUGUGGAGGUGGAACCUACAAUAGGUUCACCAAAAAUAGUGUAAAUCCCAUGUGUCUUAUGAGAGGUGAUGACUUCCUCAUUGUCAUCAUUUAUACUUAUAAGCCCUUUAUGAAUCACAAUAUGGUAUUUGUCAUCUAAUUCCCAUAGGGAUAUUAGAUUUCUUUUCAAAUCAGGUACAUAUCUGAUAUUAUUUAACUCAAGUAAAUAUUUAUUAGUUAACUUGAGUUUCAACUUUCCAAUGCCUUUAAUUUGACAACUCAUGUCAUUACCCAUCUGAAUUUGACCUCCAUUGAGUUCAACAAAUUCAGCAAACCAUUCCUUAAUAGGACACAUGUGGAAAGCGCAUCCAGAAUCAAGGACCCAUUCAUUUGGGUCUCUUUUUGGUGUGUUGGCAAGAACAACACCCUGAAUGUCAAGUUCAUUAUUGCAGGCUAGAGUUGCAGUAUCAUCAGGACUGUUUCUUCCUUUUGAAUCAGAAAUUUUCUUAAAACAAUCUUUGAUUAGAUGUCCUGUCUUUCCACAAUAGUAACAUUUCCUGACUUGGUUUUUGGUUUUAUUCUGACCUUUAUUUUUAUCCUUAUAUAUUGGUUUCUGAAAUCUGCCCUUAUUAGAAGAAGUGUAAUUACAUACAUUCUUCUUUUUAUUUUGGAUUUGUUUCUCUUUUAUAUAGAGACCCUUACCAAUUUUUGUAUCUUUGAACUCUGACUUUAGUUCAAGUUCCUUAUUUCUUAGGGCAGUUGUGAUAAUAUCAACAGUAAGGCUUUCCCUCCCAUAUUCUAAAGCAUUUCUAAUAUCUCUGUAUCUUUCACUAAGUUAAUUUAACAGACCAACAGCCUGCUGACCAUCUCUUCUCAUCACAAUUAUCUAAAUCUUGGAUUAGUUUAGUAUAUCUGUCAAUAUUUUCUUCUAGAUUCAAUGUAUUAUCAAAUCUGAAGUUAUAAAAGUGCCUAAGCAGAUAGCAUUUAUUAGGCAUAGUCUUAGUUAAGUACAAAGAUUUUAAUUUAGUCCAUAGAGCCCGAGUGUCAGUGGUUUCCCCAACCUUUCUGAUUACACUAUCAGAGAGGUGAAGAAAAAUAGUACUCUAGGCUAUUUCAUCAAGUUCUUGCCUUCUAUAGGCACUGAUUUCAGCAGCCCAGGUGCCAUCUAAAGCCCCAGCACACCUAUGUUGCAAUAAUAAUGCUCUCAUUUUCUGACGCCAAAGGCUAAAAUCCCCAGUACCAUUCCAAGUUUGCACUUCAAAUUUUUGUAUAGUAGACAUAUUGACAAAUUCACUCACAAGAUAACAGUUGUACAAUACACAAGAUGAAUGCAGGCAGUUAUAUAAUGCAAUUGCAUUGUAUGAAAGCAGUACAAAUUGGAUAUUUAAUUUUUCUGCUUAUCAUGCAAUUAUUAAAGAUUACAAAGAAUCAAAUCUUCUUUAUAUAAGAAUUAAUUAGAAUUUUGGUCUAAGGAGUUAUAACCCUGGAGUCCACUGCUCCCUCAGAUUCCCAGAUCCUCAAGGGUUCUUGGACAAAGGAAAGCAAUGGCAGGUUACUGACCUUGUUCACAAUUAACCGAAAACAAGUUUCAGAAUUAAGGAGGGUGUUUCAGAGGUUACCGAAAUCUGAAAUCUCAAGAUUUCAGAGUGAAAGUACUGUCAAAUUACCAGAAUUGAUCCAAGAAAGUGAGCUUAGGUCAGCUAAUCAACGAGUCACAGAGACUCAGUAGCACUCAGCAGUGAGUUAGAAACUCAGCAAGAAAUCGGAACGUGUUGACUCAGCUCGACAAGACUCAAUAUGAGUUCAAACAGAGUUAAUCAAAAACUCAUCAAGGAUAAUAGAUCUGACCGAGUCAAGUACGAGUUUCGAAAAAAAUUUAACAAUUAUUUUUAAAAAAAUUGUACAAACCCUAGUGUACUGAGUAAGGGAGAAACAAUUUCCCACAAAAAUAACCCUCUUUUUAAAAAGGAUAAUCCAACUAGCAGUUGGUUCUUCGCAGAUCGAAGAACUAGGGUUUUCAAAAAAUGAGAUUUCAACAAAUUUAGAAAAAACAACUUUUCGAAACCCGCUCUGAUACCACUUGUUGGUAUUUUAACAAAGUGUUUGUUCGAUUUUGAGAAAUGCAAAACGGAUUUCAGAAAAAUAGAAACAAGAACACAGAGUAUUUUUCAUCCUUAAAGGGUACGGAUGUUUAGUCACAAAGACCUACUCACCCGUUGAGCAUCGACUGCGGGAUUAAGCUCUAGAUCCACUAAAUCUCCAAGAAAUUGUACAAAUGUAUGAAGAAAUUACAGAUUUCUUCAAGUUCCCUCUAACCUCUCUAUUUGAAAUAUGGUAACACUAAAUCUUACACAAAGAUCUUCUAAACAACUCUAAACACUCAGCUACAAAGAAAUCAUCAUGAAGAUGAAUGGUUAUCGAUUUCUGAAAGAACCCUAGUUCACACACAGAUAGACAAUCGAGAGAGAAAGACCAGUUCUGCUAAAAAAUGAGCCCAAAGUUAAAUACUCAAAACCAAUCGUCACAGAUCAAAGGUUGCCAAGAAGCCACGUGUAUGAUAGGAAACUUCACUUGAGGGAGGCAAAAACACAGAGAAACGUUUUUAGUAAUGGGCCGGGUACUAAACCAAUUAAAGAGGCCCAGUUCUUUAGAAAUAGCGAGGCAGCCCAAAUUGUAUAACAAAUUCAUUUUGAGAAACUGUAUAAAACAUCAUUUUGACUCCAUCGACUAUAAUUCUUCCCACCAAAGCGAGGGCAUUGAGGUUGCAACAUAUUGUUGUUGUUGGAUGCCAUAUUGUAACCCUACUUUGAUACCAAUUUGUUGGAGGGGCUUGAUGUGUCUCAAAUGAAUUGAAGAAAAUAAAAUUUACGAUAAAAAUUUACGAGAAGAAAAUUGUUCUGUCAAAUCUCAACUUCUACAAUUUCAUAUUUUUUAGUGAUAAUAAAGUACUACAAGUGAGCAGCUCUUUUUAUGCUACAUUUGGUACAUACGAAUUAAUUGCUAAUACAUGAAGCUUAAACAACCAUUUAAAAUUCCAAGAUACAUGAAUAGAAUUAGAUUCAUCGAUAAUAACUAUAGAUGUAUGUAGAUCAUGAUUCAUUUGAGUCUAGAUUAAUAAUCUAACACUGAGUACCAUGAAAUGUAUGAAUAAAAAGCGAGUUUGAAUAUUUUAUAAAUAUGAUACAAACGUAGUCUAAAUAAAAAGCCUAGAAAACACUAAUAAACGAAAUACAAAACUCGCUGGUAAUGACAAGUGCUUUAUAAAGCAUUGUCAUUAAGAAUAGAUGGCAACGAGUGGCACAUAAGUGUAUAUUACUUGUGAAUCUCACGAAAUAAGUGGAUAAAAAGUGAUUUAACUUUUAGCAUGUUUAUAAACACUUGCGCAAAAAUACUCUUAGAGAAUCCACUAUGAUGAAGAAACUAGUUUUGAUCUUGAAACAUUUAAAUAGGAUUUUGCAAGAAAAACAGGGCCGACAGCCCCCCGUUUUUCUGGCCAAAUCCAUUAAAAUAUACCCCUCAACAUUGAAAGAGCAGGUUUUGAAUUCAGUUCAUGUUUUCACCACUCGUGUUCACACCUUGUAACGUAAAUUAUUCGGUUUGGCAUGUCUGUUUCUUAUUUUAAAUUUUCGGUACACAAAUAAGCCAAACGACAUCUAUUAAACUUACUUUUAGUGGGAUAACGAAGUUUUGUUUUCUGCUUUUAAUCUAAGCACACGCACGCACCCUCUUAGAAUUCAAGAAUUAUUUCUUUUGAUCAACUCCUCUAAUGAAAUUCUGAUCACCAACAAGAGAGAAGAAACCUAAGCUCAAAUUGGCACCACACUCACCGUAGCUGCACCAGCAUUGCAUAAGCUCCCAAUGGAAGCUUCCACCGCCUAGACCGGGUUUAAGUAUUUUUUGUUGUUUAAAUCUUCUCCACUUUUUCUUAGUCUAAAGUUCUAUUUUCUUGGAUCUUGUUUCAUCCGUUUCAGAUUUUCCUCAUCUUUCUCCACCUCUGCUUUAUCUAAUGAAUCUUUCAACCCCUGGUCACCUACAUAUCUCUAAAAUUAGUUUCUAUUUUGGGAAUUUCGUAUUAAAGCAUGUGCUUUAAAUUCUAGGUAGAAAUGGAGCUGGUAAUGGCAUUGGGUGAUUUGCAAAUUAGCACAACCCAACAGCUCGGCAUGAUUUGUGGGAAUCAACUGAGUGAUAAUGGUGUUCGAAAACUGUCAAAAAGAAAAGGCUGGUAUGUUUACAUCAAUACAUUUAAUAACCUCUUCUGAUUAUCAUAGCAUGUAUUCAACAAUAACAAAGAUAAAUCAUACCUCCAAUAGCUUGUGAUUGAUUUUCCAUAGUCUUUAGGCUACAAAAGAUGAAAGAACUUGUGCUGUGGAGAGAACUACUACUAUCUACCCUCUUGAAACCGAUGCUCUUCAUCAAAAUUAAGAGAAAGGGCCCAAAAAAAU
rnacentral:lncRNA from 1 species